rnacentral:tRNA from 1 species
UCCCUGGUGGCUCAGAGGGUAAAGCAUCUGCCUGCAAUGCAGGAGACCCUGGUUAGAUCCCUGGGUUGGGAA